rnacentral:rRNA from 1 species
GGGGCGCAGCAGUUGCGAAAACUCCGCAAUGCACGAAAGUGUGACGGGGCUACCCCGAGUGCCGUCCGCUGAGGAUGGCUUUUCCCCGGUGUAAGGAGCCGGGGGAAUAAGGAGAGGGCAAGUCUGGUGUCAGCCGCCGCGGUAAUACCAGCUCUCCGAGUGGUAGGGAUGAUUAUUGGGCUUAAAGCGUCCGUAGCCUGCCCUUCAAGUCUCUCGUUAAAUCCAACGAUUCAAUCGCUGGACUGCGGGAGAUACUGUUAGGCUAGGAGGCGGGAGAAGCCGACGGUAUUUCCGGGGUAGGGGUAAAAUCCUAUAAUCCCGGGAGGACCACCAGUGGCGUAGGCGGUCGGCUAGCACGCGCUCGACGGUGAGGGACGAAAGCUGGGGGAGCAAACCGGAUUAGGUACCCGGAUAGUCCCAGCUGUAAACGAUGCGGGCUAGGUGUUGGAGUGGCCACGAGCCACUUCAGUGCCGCAGGGAAGCCAUUAAGCCCGCCGCCUGGGGAGUACGGCCGCAAGGCUGAAACUUAAAGGAAUUGGCGGGGGAGCACCACAAGGGGUGAAGCUUGCGGUUCAAUUGGAGUCAACGCCGGGAACCUUACCGGGGGCGACAGCAGA